rnacentral:rRNA from 1 species
GCACCACGGGGGGCAGCAGUGGGGGAUAUUGCACAAUGGGGGGAACCCUGAUGCAGCGACGCCGCGUGGGUGAAGAAGCGUUUCGGCGCGUAAAGCCCUGUCAGCAGGGAAGAAGAUGACGGUACCUGACCAAGAAGCCCCGGCUAACUACGUGCCAGCAGCCGCGGUAAUACGUAGGGGGCAAGCGUUAUCCGGAUUUACUGGGUGUAAAGGGGCGCAGACGGCGAUGCAAGCAAGGAGCGAAAGCCCGGGGCCCAACCCCGGGACUGCUCUUGGAACUGCGUGGCUGGAGAGCAGGAGGGGCG